CAGGGAAUAUUGCGCAAUGGGCGAAAGCCUGACGCAGCAACGCCGCGUGGGGGAUGAAGGCCUUCGGGUUGUAAACCCCUUUCGGGAGGGAAGAAAUUGACGGUACCUCCUAAAGAAGCCCCGGCCAACUACGUGCCAGCAGCCGCGGUAAUACGUAGGGGGCGAGCGUUGUCCGGAAUCAUUGGGCGUAAAGAGCUCGUAGGCGGCUUAGUAAGUCGGCUGUGAAAGCCCGGGGCUCAACCCCGGAACUGCAGUCGAUACUGCUGUGGCUAGAGUCCGGUAGAGGAGAGUGGAAUUCCCGGUGUAGCGGUGGAAUGCGCAGAUAUCGGGAGGAACACCAGUAGCGAAGGCGGCUCUCUGGGCCGGCACUGACGCUGAGGAGCGAAAGCGUGGGGAGCAAACAGG
rnacentral:rRNA from 1 species